GCCAUUCUACUCUCCCUGUGUACCUCAGUGGCUGCAGGAAAAGUCUCUGCAUGUUGCCUCAACCUCACUGACCCAUCACUCUGAAAUGUGCUUCCUGUCCUGCCCCUGGCUUGUGCCUCAGUUCCAAGCUGUCUGGAGCAGUCUCAGGGUGUGCUGGGCCUGGAGGGCACCCCGGGUACAUCCCUUCCAUGCAUGCUUAUGAUUCAGCAAUGGAUCAAGCCCCCAAGCGCCUCCCAGCAGCUCUAAGAUGAAGAUGAGGGGGGUUAUUAAACCCAUUUUACCUUCAAGGAGACUGAGGCACGGUGACAUUAGGUAAUGAGCUCAAGGUCACCUGGGCCCAGUGAAUGUCUGCUGCCUCCCCAGCCAUGAAUCAGGCCAAGCAGGGGGAUGAUUGUCCUUUCCACCCUGUGCUCAUGGGACAUUUCUCCUAUGAUUUGCAGCCACAGCUGAUAUCCAGCUCUGCCACCCGCCUCCUGGCCUCCUGGCUUGCCUGCUCCAGCGCAAUGGGCUCUUUCAUCAUGGAGAGCUCACUUCUCGAAACAGAGCAGACCUUAAACGCUUCACUGGCUUUCCCUGGAGCAGAUUCUACCUUUACACCUUUUACUAGUUCUCCAAUGUUCCCUUCACCUGGAAUGCCCUCUCCUCUAUUUCCAGAAAGCCUUCCCAUAUUCCCCACCAGAAAGCAGUCACUGUCUUCACACAUCCCAAAGUUCAGAUCACAAUGAACUCCUCAUGACUCAACCCAGGAUGAACUGGAUUGGGAGUCAAUCCCAUCUCUACCAUUUCCGGACCAGAUCGAACAACUCACUCCGAACCACUGGAGCCUCAGUUUCCUCCUCCACUCAGUGGGGCUAAUGCUAUCAACUUGGAAAGUUAUUACAGGAAUGAGGCAUCCUUCUAGCCUGGUAUGUAGUGGGGAAGGAGGGACAGAAAGGGAGGAGAAUGAUCAUGUGGGUUAUGGUCCUCAUUCACUUUCAAGUGGAAAUGUCAAGAAUUCUCCCUUAGAAAUCACAGGAAAGCCAGAGUGAUCCAGGGCAAGCCCUUUUCCUCUGUACGGGGAGCAUAAGGUUCUCAGUCCCCAGGGAAAUUUGGGAGUAGGGGUACUGCAGUUGUAGGUUGAGUUCCCUCAGUGCCUCUUUACCAGGAAGAUGCAGCAAGUCUUAGUGAGGUCCAAGUACAUUCCCCAGGCUCUGCCAAGAGCAGGUCUGGAGGGCGAGGGGGUCAGCAGAGCCUGGGGUGAGGAGAUUCCAGACUUGCCCAGUUUUCUAUAAGAACAGCUAGGCCAGUGUUCUGAGACCAGCCUGAAUGGGCAACACCUGCCCUGGAGUG
rnacentral:lncRNA from 1 species